UUUCUCCCGCCGGCGACCGGCGCACGGGUGAGUAACACGUAUGCAACCUGCCCCUGUCAGGGGGACAACCCGCCGAAAGGCGGGCUAAACCCGCGUACAUGCCACCGGGGCAUCCCGGAGGCAGGAAAGGCUUCGGCCGGACAGGGAUGGGCAUGCGGCGCAUUAGGCAGUAGGCGGGGUAACGGCCCACCUAACCGACGAUGCGUAGGGGUUCUGAGAGGAAGGUCCCCCACACUGGUACUGAGACACGGACCAGACUCCUACGGGAGGCAGCAG
rnacentral:rRNA from 1 species